rnacentral:lncRNA from 1 species
UAAAAUUGAUCCAGAUCUUUAAUAAUACAUCAAAAUAGCAUAUCCAAUUCCUUCACCAUCACAAUUUCUAUUUUGGACUAGUCACCAGUAGAGAAAAAAAAGAAAAAAGACUUGCCAUAUUUUGAACCUCAACAACAUUUCAAAGUUCUUUCAUGGUUAUUUAUGACGGACUCAAGUAGUACGGGUACAUAUUUAAGUGUUGGAUAUAAGGCUAAGCAAAACCCUCGAACCAGACUCAAACCGAACUGAAUCGGACAAAGCGGUUCUUCUUAAGUUAAAUACCUAAACGAGUAUCCAAAUCGAAAACCGACGGGUUCGGUUCGGUUCUCAAUUCUAGAUCAAGAAUCAAAUAAGAAUCGAAUCUCUCUAAUUUUUUAAUUUAUUUAUUUUAAAUAAACCAAAUUAUUUUUUCUAAAUAAAUUUGCUAAUUAGUUAAUUUAGCUCAAACUCAAAAAUAUGAUUUUCCUAUUUUUAAUUGUCAGUCCAAACCCAACUCAAUCAAAUUGACCUAAGUUUUACCCAAAUCUGUCAUUCUACCGUAGUAUUGUUUCUACCGUUCUGAAGAAAUCGAAUUGAAGCUCGAAUCGCCUAUCUUAAUGAUUGUAAGCUCGCUAUUGUUCUCUUCCGAUGAUUUUAACAAUCAAAUAUAUGAAAAACUCAACAAAGAGAGAUGCAAAAGACAAAUCAAAUUGGAAUAUGUUAUUUUGUAAGAACUAAAAUUAAAUAUAUCAUUAGUUGAAUUAAUGUAACGCCACAAACCAGCCUUGCAAGCCCAGCAAUUUCCGACCAGAUCCCAGUUUCGCCCAGAUUUAGUGCCAUGCGCCUGACCGGCAACCUCUGCAGGCCGUUCCGACUCUGGCCGAUCAAGCGAGGGGGUCACCGGUCGGUCAGGCGGCGCGUGGGCUUCACGUGCCGGGGAGUGGCCGACAUCUUUAGGUUCUUCCUGCUGCUACGAAACUAUUCCGACCAAUGGUUCUGUCAUCUUUCGGCCCGUUAGCACAAAAUCAUGGGAAACAACCCUAUGUAAUGGAGGCUAUGGUUUUCAGUUCACGAUUUAGAGUCGAGGCGAAGGAGUUUGUAGUGACUGUUACCGCCUCUGGCGUGGUUAGGCUUUCGGAAUGGGGCUCGAACAUAUCGGGUGCUAUCUGUAUGGGUCGAUUUGGUGCCGUGUGGAUGGUGAAUAUGGUGGAAAAGUUGAGGAAGGCUAGUAAGAUGGACGAAUUCGUUGUCAAGUUUAAUGAAUCUUCCCGUGCUUUCUUGGUGCAACGUUGUGCAAACAGUCGUGGCAAAUUUCUCAUGAUAGCACAGUAUGGGGAGAGGCGGAGAAAGGGGGAUGUAAUGGUGCCGGAAGGUGCAAAUGGAGAGGAAUGGGAAUCGGUUUCAUGCAUGUUCCAAGCAGUCAUUGCUUCUUUUGUGGCCAGGGACAAGGUGGUACGUCAAACAUAUGAAGAAAGAAGCUGACGAGGGAUGACUUAGGCCGAAGUCACGGCAAGUGCACGGGCUUUGCAAAGUACUGAUCAGAGGGUACUGUUGCAGAAGGAACGGGUGGGCAAUGGGAGAAAUGACCCUCAUGUCGAAAUAAUGGCUCGUAUACAGGCGUUGAAAGGAGAAUUGGAUAGAUUGAUAAAG